rnacentral:lncRNA from 1 species
UCAGGUGUGAGCAGAGGAGAGAAGGUAGAGCAGCAUCCUUCCUUCCUGAGUGUCCCGGAGGGAGACAGCGCUGUCAUUCACUGCACUUACACAGACAGUGCCUCCACUUACUUCUUUUGGUACAAGCAUGAGCCUGGAGCAGGUAUGCAGUUACUCAUGCAGAUUGUUUCAAAUAUGGAGAAGAAGCAAGACCAGAGACUCACUGUCGUCCUGAGUAAGAAGGACAAACAUCUCUCCCUGAACAUCACAGCAGCCAAUCCCAGG